rnacentral:rRNA from 1 species
CGCGGCCUAUCAGCUUGUUGGUGGGGUAAUGGCCCACCAAGGCGUCGACGGGUAGCCGGCCUGAGAGGGUGUACGGCCACAUUGGGACUGAGAUACGGCCCAGACUCCUACGGGAGGCAGCAGUGGGGAAUAUUGCACAAUGGGCGCGAGCCUGAUGCAGCGACGCCGCGUGGGGGAUGACGGCCUUCGGGUUGUGAACUCCUUUCGUCAGGGACGAAGCGAAAGCGACGGUACCUGGAUAAGAAGCACCGGCUAACUACGUGCCAGCAGCCGCGGUAAUACGUAGGGUGCGAGCGUUGUCCGGAAUUGCUGGGCGUAAAGAGCUCGUAGGUGGUUUGUCGCGUCGUUUGUGGAAUACCGCAGCUUAACUGCGGGGUUGCAGGCGAUACGGGCAUAACUUGAGUGCUGUAGGGGAGACUGGAAUUCCUGGUGUAGCGGUGGAAUGCGCAGAUAUCAGGAGGAACACCGAUGGCGAAGGCAGGUCUCUGGGCAGUAACUGACGCUGAGGAGCGAAAGCAUGGGUAGCGAACAGGAUUAGAUACCCUA